rnacentral:rRNA from 1 species
UACGUAGGGUGCAAGCGUUGUCCGGAAUUAUUGGGCGUAAAGAGCUCGUAGGCGGCCUGUUGCGUCCGCUGUGAAAGCCCGGGGCUUAACCCCGGGUCUGCAGUGGAUACGGGCAGGCUAGAGGUAGGUAGGGGAGAAUGGAAUUCCCGGUGUAGCGGUGAAAUGCGUAGAUAUGUGGAGGAACACCAGUGGCGAAGGCGACUCUCUGGUCUGUAACUGACGCUGAGGCGCGAAAGCGUGGGGAGCAAACAGG